UCACUUUGCCAGUGUAUAUACUAAAAUCAGAACAAAACAGAGGACAUUAGCAUGUCCUAUGUGCAAGGAUGACACGCAAAUUCAUGAAGCAUUCCAUACUUUU